UACGAAGGGUGCAAGCGUUAAUCGGAAUUACUGGGCGUAAAGCGCACGUAGGCGGUUCGUUAAGUCGGAUGUGAAAUCCCCGGGCGUCAACCUGGGACCGUGCAUUCGUAUACUGGCGAACUUAGAGUAUGAUAGAGGGGGGUGGGAAUUCCAGGUGUAGCGGUGAAAUAGCGUAGAUAUCUGGAGGAACAUCAGUGGCGAAGGCGGCCCCCU
rnacentral:rRNA from 1 species